CUAACGAUUGAUCUAGUUACUUAGAAAGAUGAGAUUAUGAAAUAUAUAUUAAUAUAUUAUAUAUAUAUAUUAAUAUAAGAAUAAAUAAUAUAUGAGAAAUAUAAAAUCUAAAUAUAUAUCUAAUAAAUAAUGAUAAAGAUAUAUAUGAUAGGUCUUAACCAAAAUUAGUGCCAGCAGUUGCGGCUAAACUAAGGAGGCUUACGUUAAUCAUUAAAGGCUUAAAGGAUCCGUAGAAUGAUAUAAUAAAUAAUUAGAGUUAAAUAAAUGAAUAAUGAAUAAUUAUAUUAAGAGAUGAAAUGUGAUGAUAAUAAUUAGACAGAUAAUAUUGAAGAUAUUAUUCAGAAUUUAAACUGACAUUGAGGGAUGAAGGCAUAAGUAUCAAAACGGACUAGUACCCCGAGUAGUUUAUGCAGUAAACGAUGAAUACUAAUAAAUAAAAGUGAAAACGAUAAGUAUUCCGCCAGGUGAG
rnacentral:rRNA from 1 species